CGGUGACCUCCGGCCAUGGGGGGGUCACUGACCCUCGUCUGCCGCGGCUCCGGAUUCGAUUUCGGGAAGUUUGGGAUGGGCUGGUAUCGCCAGGGACACGGGAAGGGCCUGGAAUUCGUCGCCAGCAUCAAAGACAGGAGUUCCGUCAUCAACUACGGAGCAUCGGUCAAGGGCCGAGUGACCAUCGCCAGGGACAACGGGCAGAGCUCGGUGACGCUGACCAUGAGUGGCCUCAGGGACGGCCAUUCCGGCUCCUAUUUCUGCACCAAGGGUUCUGAUGGUUAUAACACUGCUGCCUGA